AUUGAACGCUGGCGGCAUGCUUUACACAUGCAAGUCGAACGGUAACAGGCCUUCGGGUGCUGACGAGUGGCGAACGGGUGAGUAAUGCAUCGGAACGUACCCAGGGGUGGGGGAUAACGCAGCGAAAGCUGUGCUAAUACCGCAUGUGAUCUGAGGAUGAAAGCGGGGGACCGAGCAGCAAUGUUUGGCCUCGCGCCUUUGGAGCGGCCGAUGUCGGAUUAGCUAGUUGGUGGGGUAAAGGCCUACCAAGGCGACGAUCCGUAGCUGGUCUGAGAGGACGACCAGCCACACUGGGACUGAGACACGGCCCAGACUCCUACGGGAGGCAGCAGUGGGGAAUUUUGGACAAAGGGCGCAAGCCUGAUCCAGCAAUGCCGCGUGCGGGAAGAAGGCCUUCGGGUUGUAAACCGCUUUUGGCAGGAACGAAACGGUGUCCGCUAAUACCGGGCGCUAAUGACGGUACCUGCAGAAUAAGCACCGGCUAACUACGUG
rnacentral:rRNA from 1 species